rnacentral:rRNA from 1 species
AGUGAACGCUGGCGGUAUGCCUAACACAUGCAAGUCGAACGGCAGCACAGUAAGAGCUUGCUCUUACGGGUGGCGAGUGGCGGACGGGUGAGGAAUACAUCGGAAUCUACUUUUUCGUGGGGGAUAACGUAGGGAAACUUACGCUAAUACCGCAUAUGACCUACGGGUGAAAGCAGGGGAUCUUCGCACCUUGCGCGAUUGAAUGAGCCGAUGUCGGAUUAGCUAGUUGGCGGGGUAAAGGCCCACCAAGGCGACGAUCCGUAGCUGGUCUGAGAGGAGGAUCAGCCACACGGGAACUGAGACACGGUCCAGACUCCUAAGGGAGGCAGCAGUGGGGAAUAUUGGGCAAUGGGCGCAAGCCUGAUCCAGCCAUACCGAGUGGGUGAAGAAGGCCUUCGGGUUGUAAAGCCCUUUUGUUGGGAAAGAAAAGCAGCAGGUUAAUACCCCGCUGUUCUGACGGUACCCAAUGAAUAAGCACCGGCUAACUUCGUG